rnacentral:rRNA from 1 species
GACGAACCGUGCAAACGUUGUUCGGAAUCACUGGGCUUAAAGGGCGCGUAGGCGGGCUCCCAAGUCGGUGGUGAAAUCUUUCGGCCCAACCGGAAAAGUGCCGCCGAUACUGGGAGCCUCGAGGGAGGUAGGGGUCGAGGGAACUUCCGGUGGAGCGGUGAAAUGCGUAGAUAUCGGAAGGAACGCCGGUGGCGAAAGCGCUCGACUGGACCGUCUUCUGACGCUGAGGCGCGAAAGCCAGGGGAGCCAAAGCGGGG